rnacentral:rRNA from 1 species
UACGUAGGGAGCAAGCGUUGUCCGGAAUCAUUGGGCGUAAAGCGCGCGUAGGUGGCCUCAUAAGUCCGCUGUGAAAGUCAAAGGCUCAACCUUUGAAAGCCGGUGGAUACUGUGAGGCUAGAGUACGGAAGAGGCGAGUGGAAUUCCUGGUGUAGCGGUGGAAUGCGCAGAUAUCAGGAGGAACACCGAUGGCGAAGGCAGGUCUCUGGGCUGAUACUGACGCUCAUGCACGAAAGCGUGGGGAGCAAACAGG